rnacentral:rRNA from 1 species
AGCGAACGCUAGCGGCGGGCCUAACACAUGCAAGUCGAGCGCAUACCUUCGGGUAUGAGCGGCGGACGGGUGAGUAACGCGUAGGUCAUCUACCCUUUGGUGGGGGAUAACCCAGGGAAACUUGGGCUAAUACCGCACGAGGUCUACGGAUCAAAGCCUUCGGGCGCCAGAGGAUGAGCCUGCGUCGCAUUACCUAGUUGGCGGGGUAACGGCCCACCAAGGGGACGAUGCGUAGUUGGUCUGAGAGGAUGAUCAGCCACACUGGGACUGAGACACGGCCCAGACUCCUACGGGAGGCAGCAGUGGGGAAUAUUGCGCAAUGGGGGAAACCCUGAUCCAGCCAUGCCGCGUGAGUGAAGAAGGCCU